rnacentral:rRNA from 1 species
GAGUUUGAUCCUGGCUCAGGACGAACGCUGGCGGCGCGCCUAACACAUGCAAGUCGAACGAGCGAGAGAGAGCUUGCUUUCUCGAGCGAGUGGCGAACGGGUGAGUAACGCGUGAGGAACCUGCCUCAAAGAGGGGGACAACAGUUGGAAACGACUGCUAAUACCGCAUAAGCCCACAGCUCGGCAUCGAGCAGAGGGAAAAGGAGCAAUCCGCUUUGAGAUGGCCUCGCGUCCGAUUAGCUGGUUGGUGAGGUAAUGGCCCACCAAGGCGACGAUCGGUAGCCGGACUGAGAGGUUGAACGGCCACAUUGGGACUGAGACACGGCCCAGACUCCUACGGGAGGCAGCAGUGGGGAAUAUUGCACAAUGGGGGAAACCCUGAUGCAGCGACGCCGCGUGGAGGAAGAAGGUCUUCGGAUUGUAAACUCCUGUUGUUGAGGAAGAUAAUGACGGUACUCAACAAGGAAGUGACGGCUAACUACGUGCCAGCAGCCGCGGUAAAACGUAGGUCACAAGCGUUGUCCGGAAUUACUGGGUGUAAAGGGAGCGCAGGCGGGAAGACAAGUUGGAAGUGAAAUCUAUGGGCUCAACCCAUAAACUGCUUUCAAAACUGUUUUUCUUGAGUAGUGCAGAGGUAGGCGGAAUUCCCGGUGUAGCGGUGGAAUGCGUAGAUAUCGGGAGGAACACCAGUGGCGAAGGCGGCCUACUGGGCACCAACUGACGCUGAGGCUCGAAAGUGUGGGUAGCAACCAGGAUUAGAUACCCUGGUAGUCCACACCGUAAACGAUGAUUACUAGGUGUUGGAGGAUUGACCCCUUCAGUGCCGCAGUUAACACAAUAAGUAAUCCACCUGGGGAGUACGACCGCAAGGUUGAAACUCAAAGGAAUUGACGGGGGCCCGCACAAGCAGUGGAGUAUGUGGUUUAAUUCGACGCAACGCGAAGAACCUUACCAAGUCUUGACAUCCUGCGACGCACAUAGAAAUAUGUGUUUCCUUCGGGACGCAGAGACAGGUGGUGCAUGGUUGUCGUCAGCUCGUGUCGUGAGAUGUUGGGUUAAGUCCCGCAACGAGCGCAACCCUUACUGUCAGUUACCACGCAAGAGGACUCUGGCAGGACUGCCGUUGACAAAACGGAGGAAGGUGGGGAUGACGUCAAAUCAUCAUGCCCUUUAUGACUUGGGCUACACACGUACUACAAUGGCGUUAAACAAAGAGAAGCAAGACCGCGAGGUGGAGCAAAACUCAGAAACAACGUCCCAGUUCGGACUGCAGGAUGCAACUCGCGUGCACGAAGUCGGAAUUGCUAGUAAUCGUGGAUCAGCAUGCCACGGUGAAUACGUUCCCGGACCUUGUACAGACCGCCCGUC